AUGGCGCUGCGAUCGCUUAUUCGAAAGAUGCCGGCCGUUGGUCUCAGAUCGACGCCGAUGCCCCCCCGUAUGGGGCCCGUCCACGCGCUCUCGACGGCGGCUGGUUCUCGGAUUAUGUCCGAUGGUGCUCCCGGAAUAAAUGGCCGAGCGAAGAUUUAUUCCGAAGAUGAGAUAGCUGAACGACGGGAGGCAAUAAAACGCCUGCACGCGGAGAUCGAGAAGGACCGUGCGGUGUCUGAAAGGUAUCUAGCUGAGCACAGGAAUGUAAUGGAGAUGCUGGAACAACAGAGUGCUGCAGGAGAAGCUGCCUAUAAUGCAGCUAUGAGGGAUAUUAGUGAAGCCCGUGUAAGUUGUAUGAAAACACUGAAGAACGUGGCUACGGCAUGCGAUGUUGUUGCGGUUGCCUGCCCUAUGCUGAUUGUCCUUAUGAUGAUCACUACAUAG
rnacentral:rRNA from 1 species